GACGAACGCUGGCGGCGGGCUUAACACAUGCAAGUCGAACGGAAAGGUCCUGCUUUUGUGGGGUGCUCGAGUGGCGAAGGGGUGAGUAACACGUGACUACCCUGCCCUUGACUUUGGGAUAACUUCAGUAAACUGGGGCCAUUACCGGAUAGGAGCUCCUGCUGCAAGGUGGGGGGUGGAAAGUUUCGGCGGUUGGGGAUGGACUCGCGGCUCAUCAGCUUGUUGGUGGGGUAGUGGCAUACCAAGGCUUGGCGGGGUAGCCGGGCUGAGAGGGUGACCGGCCCCAUUGCGAAUGGACUGCGGCCCAGCCCCAUACGGGAGGCCGGAGAGGGGGAUUUUGCCCGAUGGGCGGGAGCCUAGUGCCGCAAGGCCGGGAGAGGGGUGGCGGCCUGCGGGUGGGAUAGCGCAUUCGGCUGUGACGGAGCGUGAGUGACGGUACCAGGUGAAGAAGCGCCGGCUAACUACGUG
rnacentral:rRNA from 1 species